rnacentral:lncRNA from 1 species
CUACUCUAGUGUGGAUACAAUCUACACAACACAGAAAAGAUGUCCAAACAAAGUUAUUCGGUUUUUCUGGGGGACUACUGGGGGUGUUUUCAUUCCUGAUUUUAGUUUUUUUAGUGGCUUUAUAUUUAAUUUUAGUGUGUUAUAGAAAAGUCAGGAAGUAAGACUGUAACAGUGAAUAACAUCACCCGCCUAUCUCCACAGUAGAGUGUUUAUGCCAGUUAAGAUUUUUGCCUUUUCAUAACUUACUUUGAAAAUUUAACUCCCAGUGUCUCUUCUUUUUUAAAGGAUAUUUUAUAUACCAUUUUGCAUUGUAGGCCCAGAGGUCUGUGGGUCUUUACCACAUUCACACUUAUAAAACACCCUUGAUCACAACGUUAUUAGGAAGGAAAUUCUGAGAAUAAAUGAUAUCUACAAAUUACUCAAAACAUAGUUUCAGUUAGUAGAUUAAAUACUCCACACAUUUUAGCAUUAAAUCCUUGGGAAGAUAUCUUUAUAUUUCUGAGCUUCAGUUUACUCAUCUGUAAAAUCAGAAUCAUAAUGCCAUCCACCUCAUGGGAUUUUGAGGAUUAAAUGCAUUAUCACAUGUAAAUGCUUAGAUGAAGUUCAGUGCAUAGGAGGCACUCACUACACGCUUAUUGUUAUUGCCUCUGCCACCCAAAGCAUUACUUGCAAUGUUAACAGCAGCUGUCUACAUCAAAUGUUUUUGAUAGUAUAUUUUCCUCUGUCAUAACUAAAAUGAAGGAAAUAAGAGAGGAAGUGAAAAAAGGACUAAAUAAUACUCAUGAAGGACUGUCCAGCUCAGAGAAUGAUGGCAUUCCCUGUAUGACAUGAGUGAAAUGUUCCCUUAGUUCCUGUUGGUUAUGUCAUGCUGUGGCUCCUGACCGAUCUAGGAUGUAUCUGUCAUUAAAAUGAACAUCAUCUUCAGUUCCCCUGUUUGUUUCAUUUUUGUCUCUUUUGUUCACUCCUGUUACCCACUGCCUUCUCCAGUGUGUGGCACAGGCACACACACUUCCUUGUGGAAGGAAGGAAGGUAGGCAGAGAAGGAGGGAGGAAGGAAGGAACAUCUGCCUCUUUCCCUUUUUAAUGAUAGUAUUUUUCUUCCAAUAUACACUUUUUUUAAAAUUUAACAAUUAAAUGCCUGUGCACUGUUGGCAGUGGAAAUAUUUUAAAAUUAAAUUAUUUAUUUAAUGUGGAUUAUUGCUCAUGAUUAAGGAUGCAGGCUUGGGAGUGGCAGUGCCCUAGUGCCCCAGAUAGGAGCCCCAGUGCCAUCCUAGAGCUGUUUCUGAGUUCAGAAAUCUGAGUUCAGGUUGUGAGUUUGGCUGAAUCAUUUGAAGUCUCUGGGUUCAAAUUUUGGCUCUCCCACUUUUUACCUGAGUGACCCUUGAGCAAGUUAGUUAACCUCACUGCUUCACUCCUCAUCUGUAAAGUGGGAGAAAUAACAGUUCUUACCUCACAGGGAUUUUACAAGAAGCAAAUGAGUUAAUAUUUGCAAAGUAUUUGGAAUUGUAUGUGGCACUCUUAUGAGUGACAAUAGACUUGUUUGUUAAACAAUUAACAGAAACCCUAGUUUCCCAAUUAGACAUAGUAGUACCUACCUUAUGAAAUGAUCACGACGACACUGCCUGGCAUGUGAAAAACAAUCAUAUAUUAUUUCUCCAAAUCUUAUUGAAAAUCUUUAUUUCUAUAAUCUGCAGUAGUGAUCUGGGUCCUGAUUUAGCCUUUCCAUUUUUCGGUCCAUGAAAGUCUGAUUGAGUCUACCUUACCUUUCGCGCAAAGUCUUUUCACCCACCCAAUGUUUAUCAUGUCAUUUUGCCGUGCGUCAUUCGCUCCUUUUAAUCUGCAUACUCCUCAGGACAGGGACUUUGCUCUUUGUUUUGUAAUAAUUUUUAUAACACUGGGUACACUCCGGGUACUAUAAAAAUAUUGAAGAAGAAAAGAAAAAAAAAAAAAGAGAUAGUUCACCUAAAGGCAACUUCGACCCAGAGCUGGCCCGACGCACCAAUGUGUGCAGUGUCGGUUGCUGGAGGCGCGCUGUGGCCUGUGGCUCCCUGGCUGCGUGGCAGUGCAGACUGUGGGGCAUGCGCCGCGGGGGUGCGCGGGGAACUUGAGCUGGGAGGCGGCGCCCCGGGACACUGCGAGAGGCCGCUGGCUGGGGACACUGCACUCACACAGGUCAGCCUGCUUCUUUUGCUAGGAUCAGGCGAUUUAGACAGGGACUAGGCGAAUAAGUGAAUGAGUGAGGGAGGGAGGGAGGGAGGGAGGGAGGAAGGGAGUUGAGAGUGGAAAGUGAAUUGAAAAAGGAGGGGAAAGGAAAGGAUUCAUUAAAAACGGAGGCUGUGGAGGCUCGUGGUUUUAAGAAACAAGCUAUAUGGGGUCCACAUACUAUGGUCUUGUUUGAAGUUUUUUGCAUAUAGGAGGGUUGUAAUACAUGGGUUGUAUGACCAAUCAUUUCUUGUUAAAAUGAUUUAGUACUUAAAAGAUUGAUCUUUGCAACCUCGCUUUGUGAAUGUGGGAAAGCGUUCAAAUGGUUGAGAAGGCUGGAAGGAAGAGCUGCUCUGUUAUAGUCCCCAAAACAUGUUUAUUCCUCUUUUGAGGCAAUUCUUUAGUAACAGCACACUUAAAAAAUAAAAAAAAGAAGAAGAAAAGUAAGUUUAACACCUCUUUAGCAUAUGUGGCUGGUUAAAUGAUUAAAUAUUCUGCUGUAUUUAAUCAUUCUUUCUAUAUAGAGGAGUCUAUGCUGUUGGUUGUCAUAUAUAUUUAAAAUUUUAUUUUGAAAUCAUUAUAGAUUCACAGGAAGUUGCAGAGCUAGCACAGAGAGGCCCCAUAUACUUUUUUUUUUUUAAGAUAGAGAGAGGGGAGAGAGAGAGAGAGAGAGAGAGAGAAUUUUAAUAUUUAUUUGUUUUUUUUAGUUUUCGGCGGACACAACAUCUUUGUUUGUAUGUGGUGCUGAGGAUCGAACCCGGGCCGCACGCAUGCCAGGCGAGUGCGCUACCGCUUGAGCCACAUCCCCAGUCCCCCAUAUACUUUUUACCCAGUUUCCUCCAGUAGUUACAUCGACAUACUUUCAGUACAGUAUCAAAAUCAGGAAAUUGAUAUUGGUACAAUGUGUGUGUGUAGCUUCUGUGUCAUUUUAUUGCAUGUGUAGAUUUGUGCUGCUAUCUCCAUUCAAGAUUCAGGACUUCCAUCUCCAUGAAGAGCUCCCUUGUACCACCCUUUUAUUGCCACACCCACCUUCUCCUCCUGACCCUUGGCAACCAUAUGUUUCCUGAUUCUGUAUUUUUAUCAUUUUUGAGAAUGUCAUGUAAAUGGAAUCAUGGAAUACUACUGUUUUAUUUUAAAAUAAGAUUGCAUUUUUUUUCUCUCUGUUUAAUGCUCUUAAAGAUCCAUUCAAAGUUUUCUGUAAACCAAUAGUUUUGUCUUUUUUUCAUUUUUGAGUAGUGUUCUAGGAGUAUUUUUUGUUUUUUUAAUCUAUGGAGAUACUUAUUUGACACUCAAUGGGACUGAAUUUCACCUGAUGAGGUGGAAAGUGGGAGGACACAAUUUGAACAAGUUUUUCUUUCCAAAAUGGCAUUUGUGUGUUAUAGUGCGAAAGAAUGUGUAAUGUACCUUAAUUUAAAACAGACCCCUGUCUAUGCCCAGUGGCGCACAUCCAUAAUCUCAGUGACUGGGGAGGCUGAGGCAGGAUGAUUGCAAGUUUGAGUCCAGCCUUGGCAACUUAGCCAGACCCUCAGCAAUUUAGUAGACCCUGAUUCAAAAGAAAAAAGGGAGGGGGGGGGCGGGGGAAAGUGGGUUGAGGAGGUAGUUCAGUGGUAAAAUAUUCCCGGAUUUGUAUCCCAGGACCAAAAAUAAAGAAAUAAAUAAAACUGAUCACUGAAGGAUUAAAAAGGAGAAAAGGAAAAGGAAAGAGAAAUUUAUGUACUCAGACAAUAAGGCAUAACCCUGUACCUUGGAAGUUUUUCAUAUCCUUAUGGCAAUCUGUUCUUUGAUGGUUACCUUUCGUUAAACAACUCAGGUUUCCUGAAACUAACAAAAACAAAGCCUCUGCCUUAGGAAAAUUCCUGUCAGCCUUUGCUCUGUCACAUCACCUGACCAAAAAAAAAAACAAAAAAAACCUGAGGAAUAGGCAUGACUGUAAAUGACAAAGAGUAGCUCUUUGGGUUGACAGCAGUCACCAAGAACACAAAACAGCAUCUCUAGCCCAAGGGCAUCUAUCAAGAUCAGGAUGUUCUUGGAGACUGUCAGAUAACACUAUUCUGGCCCUUUGCCCCACCCACCUACCUACAUUUCUCAGUAUUUGUCUCAUUUUAGUGGAAGCUGUUAUCCUUCCCAUAUGCACUAAAGCUUGAGCAAUCUGAAAACUGGAAGCUGCCACUAGCUAGGGAAAGUAUGUUACUGCAGGAUGGUGUGCAGACGCCUUAGGCUCCACCCCUUCCUUCAGCCAGUGCUCACUGGAAAGCUCCCUCACCACACCCACCCCAUCAGCAGAGGGGAGAAGAAAAUACCCACUAUGAUUCAAAGAGUUUGCAAAUAACCCUUUCUUUGCAUUUUUAGAAUUUCACAUUCUGGACUUUCAGAGUCAUGUUGUUAAGUCACAGAAUAAAAACCUAUUAUCAGUCUGGAACCCUGACUAGUCUUGCAUCUAACUCAGUGCGCUGUCUUAAUUCUUCAUUUUAAUGAUUUCUGUUACCAGAGGAAUAUUCCUUAUCCUACACCCUGCCAGAGAACAAAGGAUAGGUAGAGAAUGGUUCUAAGAUCUAAACAUGAAGAAUUGUCACAGCUAAAGUAAUUUAUAACUCCUUUACAGGCAGUCUGCUUUUCUGAAUCUUGCAAGAUGCAAUUGAAUUCUUAGUCUUGUCUUUCUUUAUGAUUUAUUUUGAGUAAACAUUAGAUACCUGUGUCACUUUGCAGUGACACUUCUGGGGCAUAGCUGCUGAGCGUGUGUGUGGUCCAAAGGUCCCUCAGCAUGGGCAGGGUAGUUAACUUAGUCCUGUAAUCUUGAGGGAGAAACUACUUUGUUGCAAGUCAGGCGACUGAAUAAAAGCCCACUGACUUUUGUUAACCUCUUUCAUGUUUUGCUGUUUACUUAUUUGACUAAUGAUUACAGCCAUUAGGAAGGUGUGCUAGGAAAUGUAAAUAUAUUGAUUGUGUUUCCAACAUUGUAGGCAUUGAUUUUUCUAAAGGAUCAUGGGAGGGUGGUUGUUUUCUUUUAAACCACUUCAUUCAAAAAGAAGAAAUAGAGUUUUCUGAAGUAAAAUAGAAAUGUCGCAUUUACUAUAUGGAUGUAGACAAAGAUCAAGUAUUAGUUGUAUAAUUAUUUUCAAACUAGUUUGUAACAUUCUAGCAAUAUAC